rnacentral:tRNA from 1 species
GCAUUGGUGGUAUAGUGGUGAGCAUAGCUGUCUUCCAAGCAGUUGAUCUGGGUUGGAUUGCUGGCCAAUACA